ensembl:lncRNA
AUGACACUCUCACCCCUGCAGUAUUUGUUCUCAGGCUGUUUUCUAUGUGUGUGUGUUUGUCCCUUUCAGGAUACAGGGGUCAGAAAGGAGAACGAGGCCAGCUUGGGCUGGGGUUACCAGGAGAUCCAGGACCCAUGGGGCCACCAGGCCCUCCUGGGUUCAGUUCUCAGGGCCCUCCUGGCUCCCCCGGGCCCCGCGGACCUCCUGGGACAUGUGACCCCAGUGACUGUCUUCUCCCUGCCUUAUAAAGCCCUGAUUGAGCGGUUCGGCCUGGUUGAAAGAAGAAGAAGCUCCGUGCGUUAGGAUGGCGCCACUGCAUCUCACCGCUUCCUUGGCUCUGGUUUAUCAGACAGACUCACAGACCUCUUUUGUUCACUUUACAAUGAUAUUUGGAUGCCAGCCCCUUGAGGUUUUUAUUAUUUUGUUCUUUUUUCUGGGAUUGCUGUUGGGUUUGUUUUGAAUGUGACUAAGAACUUUUUGCUGUACUUUUAAGUUAUUUUGUAUUUUCAUGUCCCCUACUGUGACAUAAUGCAUUCCUUGUUAACUCUCAAGAUGUCUUUCAAGACCAUGAAAUGACUUUGUUUUUGUCAAGCUUGAUCCUGUUUGAAAACACAAUCUUAAUUAUUUGUUUGCCUCUUUAAUGGGCAUGUCUAUGCAGUCUUCUGUUCUUAUCACUGAGCUGGCAGAAGGUACAUCUCAUGUUUCUGUGUGUGUGUGUGUGUGUGUGUGUGUGUGAGAGAGAGAGAGAGAGAGAGAGAGAGAGAGAGAUUAGCUGAGUGAAUUUUAAUGUAGAUGUGACAAAAUAACAGAUUUUCAAAACUCUUUAUGCAACCAAAGUGCAGCAGAUGUGUCUGAUAACGAAUGUAUUUCAAUAAUGGUACUAAUAAGUGCUAAAAGUGUACUAAAUGUAGCAUGAAUUAGGAAGUAGAUUUGUAAAUUAUCCUAAAAUAUAUUUUUGUUUUCUUGUUAUCGUCCCUCGUGACACAUUUGCAUUGUGUGUGAUGGUCACUUCUCAGAACCUGCGGUGUGACAAAGGUUUUCACAUGUUGGUACUGAGCGCUCAUCAUCAGUGAAGUUUGCCAAAGCUUUUAUUACACAAGACAACUUACUGAUACUGUUUAUCUGGAGCUACAUGUAAGACACAUAUCAGGGGUGGUUUGAUAAGUUGCUGGCGUCACAUAGAAGGAGACGAAUGAUGGUGACAGAAGAGCAACCAAAACAUCAAUGGAACAAAAUCCACAGAAUGUCCACAGUGGGGACAGUUUCCAUACAGGAAGAUGGACUAUCACUCAUUCAUGUUAUAAAAAAAAAAAACAAUGAUACAUAUGCAAAGUUUAAGAUUGACUCCGUCUAACUUAGGUCACAAACUUAUCAGUCACCUCUCAUGCAUCAAGGGCAGAUUUUUUUUCCAGAUAAAAAGAAUGUACGUUAAUGAUGUUUCUGUUCAGUGAGUGUGACUCCUCAUUUUAUCUGUAAAUAUGUGUGUUUGUGUGAGUUUUUUCUGUCUAAUGGGGCUUGUUAAGGGACCUGACAAUAUAAUUAUAUAAGCAAGUUGUCACUAAUGACACAUUAGGGUUCUCAGUUACAUCAUCAAUCAUACAUCGCUGCAAAUGAAAACUGCUGUGUGUCUGAGAUGAUUGUUUACAUGGUUUUGUGUACAGUAUGAUGAUUCCUCUGGUUUAUAUGUAUAUUUUUGAUUUUCAGCAACACAAGGGAAAUCGGAUUACUACACUACACUGUUUUUAUCUGGUUGAAACAUCAUAAAUAGACUUGAACGUUAUUGUUGUUAGAACCGUUUCUACAUCCUGGUUUUUUUUUUCACUUCACUGACCAACACUGUGUGUUACUGUAUGUUGCUGGGUUUUUUUGGGGGGUGUAUCUUAAGACUGGAGUUUAAUUUAUUUAUUGCAUCAUUUUUAAUGUUCUCACAUGAAGGUUUUUGAGUCAAUUUCACCUAAACAGGCAUGAAAGUCUGGUUAAUUUCCAAAAGCAUGCUGCAGAUUUGAUAGAAAGUUUUGACAAAAUGAACCAAAACUUUCUAAUUAAACAAUAAACUUUUUAAGAAAAUCA